UUACUUAUAGUAUAAUCUAAUACAUUAGCCUUUCAAGUUAAAACCGUGAUAUCUAUCACUAAGUACU
rnacentral:tRNA from 1 species